UACGUAGGGCGCGAGCGUUGUCCGGAAUUAUUGGGCGUAAAGAGCUCGUAGGCGGCUGGUCGCGUCUGCCGUGAAAGCCUGCGGCUUAACCGUGGGUCUGCGGUGGAUACGGGCCGGCUUGAGGUAGGCAGGGGCAAGCGGAAUUCCUGGUGUAGCGGUGAAAUGCGCAGAUAUCAGGAGGAACACCGGUGGCGAAGGCGGCUUGCUGGGCCUUACCUGACGCUGAGGAGCGAAAGCGUGGGGAGCGAACAGG
rnacentral:rRNA from 1 species